GGAGGCAGCAGUGGGGANNAUUGCACAAUGGGCGGAAGNCUGAUGCAGCGACNCGCGUGAGGGAUGACGCCUUCGGGUUGUAAACCUCUUUCAGCAGGGAAGAAGCGAAAGUGACGGUACCUGCAGAAGAAGCGCCGGCUAACUACGUGCCAGCAGCCGCGGUAAUACGUAGGGCGCAAGCGUUAUCCGGAAUUAUUGGGCGUAAAGAGCUCGUAGGCGGUUUGUCGCGUCUGCUGUGAAAGCCCGGGGCUCAACCCCGGGUCUGCAGUGGGUACGGGCAGACUAGAGUGAUGUAGGGGAGACUGGAAUUCCUGGUGUAGCGGUGAAAUGCGCAGAUAUCAGGAGGAACACCGAUGGCGAAGGCAGGUCUCUGGGCAUUAACUGACGCUGAGGAGCGAAAGCAUGGGGAGCGAACAGGAUUAGAUACCCUGGUAGUCCAUGCCGUAAACGUUGGGCACUAGGUGUGGGGGACAUUCCACGUUUUCCGCGCCGUAGCUAACGCAUUAAGUGCCCCGCCUGGGGAGUACGGCCGCAAGGCUAAAACUCAAAGGAAUUGACGGGGGCCCGCACAAGCGGCGGAGCAUGCGGAUUAAUUCGAUGCAACGCGAAGAACCUUACCAAGGCUUGACAUGAACCGGAAAAGCGUAGAAAUACGCUCCCCACUUGUGGCCGGUUUACAGGUGGUGCAUGGUUGUCGUCAGCUCGUGUCGUGAGAUGUUGGGUUAAGUCCCGCAACGAGCGCAACCCUCGUUCUAUGUUGCCAGCGCGUUAUGGCGGGGACUCAUAGGAGACUGCCGGGGUCAACUCGGAGGAAGGUGGGGACGACGUCAAAUCAUCAUGCCCCUUAUGUCUUGGGCUUCACGCAUGCUACAAUGGCCGGUACAAAGGGUUGCGAUACUGUGAGGUGGAGCUAAUCCCAAAAAGCCGGUCUCAGUUCGGAUUGAGGUCUGCAACUCGACCUCAUGAAGUUGGAGUCGCUAGUAAUCGCAGAUCAGCAACGCUGCGGUGAAUACGUUCCCGGGCCUUGUACACACCGCCCGUCAAGUCACGAAAGUUGGUAACACCCGAAGCCGGUGGCCUAACCCCUUGUGGGAGGGAGCCGUCGAA
rnacentral:rRNA from 1 species